GGAUUUCAAUUAAUAUUUCCUGAUUAUCAAGAAGUUCAAGAUAAAACCAUCAACGUGGAGUCUAGUUUAGUGGUCAAAGAAGGUCAAAAAGCCUCUUUUAGCAGAUAUGAUGCCCACCGUAAGCCUCUCAAAGGUGACAAACCAAAGUCAGCACCGUAGUGAGGAAUCUGCUAAGAAGAAGAUGGAUGGGGCAAAAAGAAUCUCAAAAAGUUCAUUA